rnacentral:rRNA from 1 species
CCUACGGGUGGCAGCAGUGAGGAAUAUUGGUCAAUGGCCGUAAGGCUGAACCAGCCAAGUCGCGUGAAGGAAGAAGGAUCUAUGGUUUGUAAACUUCUUUUAUAGGGGAAUACAAGUAUCCACGUGUGGAUAUUUGCAUGUACCCUAUGAAUAAGCCUCGGCUAACUCCGUGCCAGCAGCCGCGGUAAUACGGGGGAGUCGAGCGUUAUCCGGAUUUAUUGGGUUUACAGGGUUCGUAGGUGGAUUUGUAAGUCCGCUGUGAAAGUUUGGGGCUCAACCCUGAAAGUUCCGUUGAGACUGGAAGACGUGAGUGUGGUAGAGGUAGGCGGAAUGCGUGGUGUAGCGGUGAAAUGCAUAGAUAUCACGAAGAACUCCGAUUGCGAAGGCAGCUUACUAAGCUAUAACUGACACUGAAGCACGAAAGCGUGGGGAUCAAACAGGAUUAGAUACCCCGGUAGUC